AUUGAACGCUGGCGGCAGGCCUAACACAUGCAAGUCGAGCGGAUGAAGGGAGCUUGCUCCUGGAUUCAGCGGCGGACGGGUGAGUAAUGCCUAGUAAUCUGCCUGGUAGUGGGGGAUAACGUCCGUAAACUGGCGCUAAUACCGCAUACGUCCUGCGGGAGUAAGUUUGGUCUCUUCUGACCUCACGCUCUCAUAUGUGCCUAGGUGGGAUUAGCUAGUUGUUGGGGUAAAGGCCUAACAAGGCGACGAUCCGUAACUGGUCUUAGAGGAUGAUCAGUCAAACUGGAACUGAGACACGGUCCAGAAGCCUACGGGAGGCAGCAGUGGGGAAUAAUGGACAAUGGGGGAAAGCAUGAAACAGACAAGCCGCGUGUGUGAAGAAGGUAUUCGGAUUGUAAAGCAAUUUAAGUUGGGAGGAAGGGAAGUAAGUUAAAAACUUGCUGGUUUGAAGGUACCAACAGAAAAAGCACCGGCUAACUUCGUG
rnacentral:rRNA from 1 species